CCAUUGGGUGCAGAUGAAGGCUUUCAACCCUUGAGCGCUUGGCUCUUGGGCAGGAUGAAAAGGGGAACGCCGGCGCCACCCGUUUUACUCCAGUAGUGGCAAAUCCGGGGCUGUCCCGCAACUGUAAGCCUGACGUAUCGCGUGUUCCAGGCAAGCCAGACACCCUACCUUCAUCUCUAGUUUCGUG
rnacentral:ncRNA from 21 species